rnacentral:misc_RNA from 1 species
ACUUUAGCUGGUGUUGGGAUCCUAGCAAUUCCAUAUGCACUUUCUCAAGGGGGCUGGCUGAGCUUAAUACUUUUGUUUCUGCUAGCAAUUCUGUGCUGGUAUACAGGGUUACUUCUGCAGCGGUGCAUGGAUGAAGAUCCAGCCAUCAAAACCUAUCCAGAUAUAGGGUUGAGAGCUUUUGGAUACAAAGGAAGAGCUCUAGUAUCCAUCUUCAUAUAUCUUGAGCUAUUUUUGGCAGCAGUAGAGUUUCUGAUAUUAGAAGGUGACAAUCUAAACAAGCUGUUUCCAAAUAUGGGUUUCAGAGUUGCUGGACUGAAAAUUGAGGGUAAACAAGGCUUUGUUCUGCUCACUGCCCUUGUAAUCUUACCAACAACAUGGUUAAGGAGCUUAGGAAUGUUGGCUUAUGUUUCUGCUGGUGGGGUUUUGGCUUCUGUUGUGCUGCUUGGUUGUGUUUUAUGGGCUGGUGCAGUUGAUGGUGUAGGGUUCCAUGAAGGAGAUGUGCUUUGGAACUGGGGAGGUUUGCCUACUGCUAUAAGUUUGUUUACCUUCUGUUAUUGUGCUCAUGCAGUUUUCCCAACAUUGUACAAUUCCAUGAAAGAUAGAAGCCAAUUUUCUAAGG